CCGAGGAGGCUCUAGGGGCCAUGGCACAUAGGGGGCGGAGGCCGGGGUGGACAGUUCCCCAGCCUGCUGGGGAUGGAGAGCAAUUGAGGGGAGUGUGGAGUGGGGAGUAUGGAAUUGGGAGCAAUGAGGGAAGAGAGUGAGAGGGAAGAAGAGAGGAAGGCAAAAGGAAGAUGGGGAAGGGGCCAUUCUGCACGGGUCUUCACAGACCAUUAGUCCAGGAGAUAUAGGGAUCGUGUGCCUGUCGGAGUGUCCAGCGAAAUCCCGAGUAACUGACAGCAGCUGCUCCUCCUCUUUUCUGGCUCCUGGCUGUUCCCUGGCCCCGUCUUCCUUCAGGACGGGCAGGAUCUUUUACCCAUACCUCCUUGCCUCCCUGUUCCUCAUCGAGCUCCAAGCCAGACAAGGCUGCUUUUUCCUGGGAGUGGGCUGGUCCUCCAUUUUCCUCUGAUCACUCCCCUUAUUCCUGCGUUUAGACAAGAGAGAAAUGGGGGCCCUAAGAAAGCGGGCAUUCCGCCUUGUUCCUUCAUUCUGACCAAUACCAACAGUCCCUGGAUGGUAACUCCCUUUCCCAGCCUUCAAGAAGGGAAAUUGGUCUCCCCCAGUCCCUCAGCAGCCCCCUAACUCUUCUCCCUAUCAGGUUGCAUGAGGCAGUCCUCUUCCUCAAGUGCAGUAAAGUGUUGAGGUUGCAUAAGUGGAAAUGUGUCUGCUUCCAUCAAAAUAUUUGUCACAUUAUUUGAGGCCCCACUCAUGCUGCUCCAUUGCUCCUCCUUCAUCCUCCUUUAUCCAGCCCACCAUGGAAGGCUCUGCCUCUGGAGGCCUCUGGCCCCUGCUAAAAGAUGACCCUUCAGCCUCUUUCUUUUCUCCUGAGAGGUCCCCUCCCACCUCACACUCUUCCCCUGCUGACUGGUCACAACUGUCCUUAUGAUUCUCUGGCUUUCUCUACCCUAGGAUGAGACUGCUUACCCCCACCCAGAGCUGGGAGGAGGAAAGGGACACGAAAAUAUCAAAUAAGGGGCUAUGAGAGAGGACUUUCCAAGCCCUGAUGGCAGAGCCCAGUUGGAGGGACCCCCAACCACCAAGGAGGGAGCUAAACCAAUUCAAUAAAUAGCAUUUACACUGAGCUUACUGUGUGCCAGGCCCUGUCUUGAAUGCUUUACAUACAAGAUCACACUGGGUCUUUACAUCAAGCCCUAGAGGUAAAACUCAUCACUUUUCUCAUUUUACAGAUGGAGAACUGAGGCUCUGGCAAGUGAAGAGAUUUGACCAAAGUCACACAACUAAUAAGAGGUUGCAGUGUUUGGUGUAGGAUAGGAAGACAGUGGCCUAUGCUUCUAGGUUCAGAGACAAGACUUAGAUGAGUGAAGAAGGACCCCUGGUGCUCUGGCAUUCUAGCCUCCUCCUCAGCCACCUGCCCGCAGGGGGACAGGGGAACCCAGGUUUACAGAAGGGGAAAGAGGCAUGAUUCAUCCAGGUGCCAGGCUCUGUGCUGCGUCCUGGGAGCCAGCGCAAAAGCCAGACUAGGCUCUUCUUGCCUGUGCGGUAUUUAGAGUUGAUCGAAGGAGACAAACAAAUGCACAACAAAGCAUCAUGCCCCCAGGAGACCAGGGAGCAGUGUCCAUGCGCCUCGCCUGAGGACCCAGAUGUCCUGCUCUUCCAGCUGAAUGCUUUCAAGUGACGCAGAAUCCUUGUCUCAUCCCAGGGUUAACAUCCCCUUCUCACCCGUCUCCCACAUCUGCAGGUCUCCCCUCCUGGGCAGCCAGACCAUCUGAGGAUGGUGGACAGAGUGUGAAGGUGAGACUGAAUCUCAGCUUGGACACUCACUGGCUGGGUGACCUCAAGCAAAUCAUUCAUCUCUCCCAGUCGCAGUGUCCUUCUCAGUUAAAAGGCAGUAACUAAUACCCAUCACAGUGGUACCAACAGCAUCAAAUAAGAUUAAGUAUAUAAAGCACCAAAGAUGGUGUUUGGUGCACA